rnacentral:rRNA from 1 species
UCCCGUUGAUCCUGCGGGAGGUUGCUGCUAUAGGGAUGCGGCUUAACCAUGCAAGUCAAGGGGCUUCUUCGGAAGCACCGGCGAAAGGCUCAGUAACACGUCAAUAAUCUGCCCUAAGGUCAGGGAUAAUGUCGGGAAACUGACUCUAAUACCUGAUAGAGGAUUGAUGCUGGAAUGCACUUUCUUCUAAAGUUUCGGCGCCUUAGGAUGAGUUGGCGGCUGAUUAGGCUGUUGGUGAGGUAAAGGCUCACCAAACCAAAGAUCAGUAGGGGAGAUGAGAGUCUUAGCCUCGAGAAGGACACUGAGAUAAGGGUCCUAGCCCUAAGGGGUGCAGCAGGUGCGAAACCUCUACAAUGCACGAAAGUGUGAUAGGGGUAUCCCUAGUGCUCAGCUUUGCUGGGCUUUUGUUAUGUGUAAAUAACAUGACGAAUAAGUGGUGGGCAAGACUGGUGCCAGCCGCCGCGGUAACACCAGCGCCACAAGUGGCAACCACAAUUAUUGGGUCUAAAGCGUCUGUAGCCGAUUUGGCAGUUUCUUGUGAAAUUGUUUAGCUUAACUGAACAACGUGCAAGAAAUACUGUUAAGUUAGAGACCGGGAGGAGAGAGGAGUACUCUUUGGGAAGCGGUAAAAUGUUGUAAUCCUUAGGGGACUACCUGUGGCGAAGGCGCCUCUCUAGAACGGGUCUGACGGUGAGAGACGAAGGCUAGGAGAACGAUCGGGAUUAGAUACCCCAGUAGCCCUAGCAGUAAACGCUGUGAACUAAGUGUUGCAUGUUCUUCGUGAACAUGCAGUGCUAGAGCGAAGGCAUUAAGUUCACCACCUGGGAAGUACGGCCGCAAGACUGAAACUUAAAGGAAUUGGCGGGAAAGCACACCAGCGGUGGAAUGUGCGGUUUAAUUCAAUUUCACUCGGAAAAUCUCACCAGGAGCGACGGCAGAAUGAAGGUCAGAUUGAAGGUUUUACCUGACAAGCCGAGAGGUGCUGCAUGGCCGUCGUCAGCUCGUGCCGUAAGGUGUCCAGUUAAGUCUGGUAACGAGCAAGACCUGUAUCUACAAUUGCUAGCGUAUCAUUUUUGAUGAACGUGCACAAUGUAGAGACUGCCUUGGUAACAAGGAGGAAGGUGCAGGCAACGAUAGGUCUGUAUGGCCCGAAUCUCCUGGGCUACACGCGCGUCACAAUGGCAUGGACAAGGGGAUACCACUCCGAAAGGAGCAGUCAAACCUCGAAACCAUGUCUAAGUUCUGAUCGAGGGCUGUAACUCGCCCUCGUGAUGCCGGAAUCGCUAGUAAUCGUGUUUCAACAUGGCACGGUGAAUACGUCCCUGCUUUUUGCACACACUGCCCGUCAUCCCAAUCGAGUCGGGUCUGGGUGAGGAUUAAUCUUUGGGUUGAUUCGAACCUAGGCUUGGUGAGAAGGGGCAAGUCGUCACAAGGUA